rnacentral:lncRNA from 1 species
ACUGUUGAACAGUCUCUUCAGCCCAGUACAUGUAACUGUUUUUAAGAGGGGGGUUGGGGGGAAAAUUUCUUUAGCAACCUUAGAGAUGUAACUUGAGAGCUGACAGGUAUGUGUCAAUAUAUGUCUAGUGCUCCACAUGACCCUAUGCCCUCUUCUGGCCUCAAGAGGUGACUGCAUACACAUGUACAUACCCACAUAGAUGUGCAUACAUAUAAGAAUAAUAAUAAACUUUAAAAGAUUUAUUUAUUACCACAUGGUCUAUGUAGCCCUAGCUGGCUUGAACUUGCUCAGUAUGACAGGCUAACCUUAACUUCAUAAAGUCCCUCUGCUUUCUGCCUCUUGAGUCCGGGGAUUAAUGGUGUAAGCCACUAUGCCCAGCUUAAAGAUACAUAUCUUUAAUAAAAUCUACAACUGUGAUUC